rnacentral:rRNA from 1 species
GGGUCAGUAGGUUGGUCGUGCCACCGGUACGUACUGGUCUCACUGAUUCCUCCUUCCUGAAGAACCGUAAUGCCACUAAUUUGGUGUUGCGGGGAAACAGGACUGUUACUUUGAAAAAAUUAGAGUGUUUAAAGCAAGCUAAUGCUUGAAUACAUUAGCAUGGAAUAAUGAAAUAGGACGAUCGAUCCUAUUUUGUUGGUUUCUAGGAUUGACGUA